rnacentral:rRNA from 1 species
AUGGCCGCUCUCUCCGUGCUCAACUGCCUCCUCAAGACCGUCCAAGCCGCACGGGCUGACGACGACGCGCACGUGUGGAUUCCGGCCUCCUCCUUCCCCGAUGAGCUCCGCGAUAUCGGCGUCGCUGCGCUGAUCCGGGACGACGCCAAGGCCACGGCGCUCGCGUCCGCCGACUUUGGCAACGUGUCGUUCGCGCCGCCCGCGGCGGCUGUGCUCUAUCCCUCGUGCCCUGCUGAUAUCGCCGCUCUGCUGCGCGCCUCGUGCGCACGUCCGUCACCGUUCCCGGUGUCCGCCCGGGGAUGCGGCCACUCCGUCCGUGGCCAGGCGGGCGCGCCCGGCGGCGUCGUCGUUGACAUGCCGUCGCUCGGGCAGCUCGGUGGAGGCUCCACUUCGGCCCGCCUCUCUGUUUCGGUCGAAGGCCAAUACAUAGACGCCGGCGGCGAGCAGCUGUAGGUGGACGUGCUGCGCUCCGCGCUUGCGCACGGUCUAACGCCGCGUUCGUGGACCGACUACCUCCACCUCACCGUCGGCGGCACGCUCUCCAACGCCGGCAUCAGCGGCCAGGCCUUUCGCCACGGACCCCAGAUAUCCAACGUCCAAGAACUCGACGUCAUCACCGGAUCUGGGGAGAUGGUGACGUGUUCGAAGGAAAAGGAAGCCGACCUGUUCGACGCCGUGCUGGGCGGGCUGGGGCAGUUCGGUGUCAUAACGCGGGCGCGCAUACCGCUCGUGCCAGCGCCGACGAGGGCGCGCUGGGUGCGGCUCCUGUACACGGGCGCCGCCGCACUCACCGGCGACCAGGAGCGGCUCAUAGACGUCGAGCGUGGCGGCGCGGUGUCCGGGCUCAUGGACUACGUCGAGGGCACGGUCCUUGCGGACAAGGGCCUAAUCGGGAGCUGGCGCUCUCCGUCGCCUUCGUCAUCGUCUUCGUCCUUCUUCUCGGAGCCCGACGUUGCGGCGCGCGUCGCCAAGCUCGCGGAAGAGGCAGGCGGCGUCCUGUACUGCCUUGAGGGAGCGCUGUACUACGGCGGCGCAGCCGGCGGCGAGUCCGACGUCGAUAACAAGCUGGAUGUCUUGCUGCGGGAUCUGCGGUACGCGCGGGGCUUCGCGUCCGUGCAGGACGUGUCGUACGUGGGGUUCCUGGACCGUGUGCGCGACGGCGAGCUCAAGCUCCGCGCCGUCGGCCUGUGGGACGUGCCGCACCCCUGGCUCAACCUCUUCCUUCCGCGCUCCCGCGUCCUCGACUUCGCCGCCGGUGUUUUCCACGACAUCCUCCGCCGUGGCGCCACCGGUGCCAUGGGCCCCGUCCUCGUCUACCCCAUGAACCGCAACAGGUGGGACAGCGAGACGUCGGCGGUGUUCCCAGAGGAGGAGGAGGUGUUCUACACGGUUGGGAUCCUCCGGUCGGCCGUGUCGGAUGGCGAUCUUGGGCGCCUGGAGGAGCAGAACAAGGAGAUCUUACGAUUCUGCGAGGAGGCCGGGAUAUCGUGCGUGCAGUACCUGCCGUACUACGCCGACCAGACCGGUUGGGAGAAGAAGCACUUUGGUCCAGCCAAGUGGGCCAGAUUCAUGGAGCGGAAGAGGAAGUAUGAUCCCAAGGCGAUCCUCUCCCGUGGUCAGAGAAUUUUCACGGCCCCGCCGGCUUGA